GAUGAACGCUGGCGGCGUGCCUAACACAUGCAAGUCGAGCGAAAGGACGAGACUUUUGCUUCGCUGAUGUGAGGGGCGGGCGGGUGAGUCACACGAGUAUACCCUACCUAUAGGACUGAGAUCACUUGGGGAAACCGUAUCAAACACCGGAUAAGAUUUUGAAGCGUGGGGUUGUAAGGAAAAAUACGGUCUUGCUGGCCCUAAUCGCGGGAUCCGGGCUGGAUGGUCUAGUUGUUACGGUAACGGCUUACCAAGGCUACGAUGCAUGGCCGACCUGAGAGGGUGAUCGGCCACACUGGAACUGAGACACGGUCCAGACUCCUACGGGAGGCAGCAGUAGGGAAUAUUAGGCAAUGGGCGAAAGCCUGACGCAGCAAGGCCGCGUGUGUGAUGAAGGUCUUCGGAUCGUAAAGCUCUGUUAUUAGGGAAGAACAUAUGUGUAAGGAAAUGUGGCCAUCUUGACGGUACCUAAUCAAGAAGCCCCGGCUAACUACGUG
rnacentral:rRNA from 1 species